GACGGAGGAUGCAAGCGUUAUCCGGAAUGAUUGGGCGUAAAGCGUCUGCAGGUGGCAGUUCAAGUCUGCUGUCAAAGACCGGGGCUUAACUUCGGAAAGGCAGUGGAAACUGAACAGCUAGAGUAUGGUAGGGGCAGAGGGAAUUCCUGGUGUAGCGGUGAAAUGCGUAGAGAUCAGGAAGAACAUCGGUGGCGGAGGCGCUCUGCUGGACCAUAACUGACACUCAGGGACGAAAGCUAGGGGAGCGAAUGGG
rnacentral:rRNA from 1 species